rnacentral:rRNA from 1 species
AGCUCCAAUAGCGUAUAUUAAAGUUGUUGCGGUUAAAAAGCUCGUAGUUGGAUUUCUGCCGAGGACGACCGGUCCACCCUCUGGGUGAGCAUCUGGCUCGGCUUGGGCAUCUUCUUGGGGAGCGUAUCUGCGCUUCAUUGUGCGGUGCGGUACCCGAGACUCUUACUUUGAGGAAAUUAGAGUGUUUCAAGCAGGCUCACGCCUUGAAUACAUUAGCAUGGAAUAAUAGAAUUGGACCUCGGCCCUUUUUUGUUGGUUUCUAGAGCUGAGGUAAGGAUUAAUAGGGAUAGUUGGGGGCAUUCGUAUCUAACUGUCAGAGGUGAAAUUCUUGGAUUUGUUAAAGACGGACUAAUGCGAAAGCAUUUGCCAAGGAUGUUUUCA